rnacentral:rRNA from 1 species
AUACGUAGGGUGCGAGCGUUGUCCGGAAUUACUGGGCGUAAAGAGCUCGUAGGUGGUUUGUCGCGUCGUCUGUGAAAUUCCGGGGCUUAACUCCGGGCGUGCAGGCGAUACGGGCAUAACUUGAGUACUGUAGGGGAGACUGGAAUUCCUGGUGUAGCGGUGAAAUGCGCAGAUAUCAGGAGGAACACCGGUGGCGUAGGCGGGUAUCUGGGGAGUAACUGACGCUGAGGAGCGAAAGCAUGGGUAGCGAACAGGAUUAGAUACCCUGGUAGUCCAUGCCGUAAACGGUGGGCGCUAGGUGUAGGGGUCUUCCACGACUUCUGUGCCGUAGCUAACGCAUUAAGCGCCCCGCCUGGGGAGUACGGCCGCAAGGCUAAAACUCAAAUGAAUUGACGGGG